GUAUUACCGCUUAAAAGGUGGUUUUGUAUUUAUAAUAAAAACUGAUCGUUUACAUUUAACAUAGAAUAUAAAAAUAGUUUUGUCUGGGUAGCAACAUAACUGUUGCAUAGGGUAUGUUGUUUAAUGAUAAUACUAUAUGAAAAUUCCUCGAGCCAGCUGACUUACACUAUGGAUAGUGUACAAGGCAACAGUUAUAGAACAUCACGUGAUAAAGUUGAUGGAAACGGCAAAAUAUUUAUUUACAAUAUAUGUGUUUCCAGGGGAAGAGCCUGUUACAAAGUCUGUGUCUAAAAAAAAGUAAACUCGCUCCUUGUCGGACAAAACUGAAUGUAAUUAAGUUAACUACCUAUGUACAGUAUCAGUGGAGUACUUGAAUUAAUAUCAAAUUGUAACCCGAGAUGCUGGUGCCACACCUUAUUACGUGACCACCCAGUGAGGCGUAAACACUCAGGGGCAUGAUAUACACCCUUGUGUUUGAUUUGAUAUACCAAUCAGCCGUGGACGCCCGACCAUAAAAAUGGUAUAUAUAGAUUUAACCCUAAUCAGGUAUCGUUAAAUAUCGUUAAAUCGUCGAGAACGUUCUGUCAGACGAUCAAACGAUAACAAUUCAACAAGUCGGUAAAUCACAUCGAAAACCCAAGUUCUGGUCGCAGUGAGAAGCUCUGGAUACCUUGAGGAGGUUUCACCAGCUCUGCUUCAACAACGUUGACAUGGGUAAGGCAUUUUAUUCUAUUUUUGUACACCAAACACUGUAUAUAUCUUGAAGAACCUUUGCCUUCUGUUUGGAUCAUGGUUUCUUUAUGAACAUAUUCACUGAACAUGUUGCUACCCUAUUACAGAUCUUACCAACGUCAUCAACAGUCAAGGCAGACAUCUUUCUUCAAGAAAUCUGCCCAAAAGGAAAAACACUGAAAUUGGACCAGUCAAGCUGCAAGACUUUGUCGGCCAGUCAAAAGUGGACGCUGCAAUCCAAGGUGAAACUUUCUUUCUCAUGGUGGGGCACACGCAUGAAGAUUUGGGUCAACUGUUAAGUGUUUAGUGCAAGGGAACUUAGACAGAAGCCUGCAACAACCCGCGAUGCCCUCCUUCAAGAUUGGGGACAUCCGGACACCCACCACCAAGCUAUCAGACUUCAAGCCCUUCAUGCCUGCCCCAAGGGAAGCGACAACCUUCCCAACUAAAGUUCAAGAGGCAAUAGAGAAGAACAAUGAAAAACUGCAAAAACAAUCAAAGAUCACUCUGACAAAGCACCGAAGACAAGCGUCAGUAUCAGAACAAUAAAGAAG
rnacentral:lncRNA from 1 species